rnacentral:rRNA from 1 species
CUCAACCACGCUGCAUGCCUAAUACAUGCAAGUCGAGCGAACAGACGAAGUGCUUGCACUUCUGACGUUAGCGGCGAACGGGUGAGUAACACGUAAGGAAUCUACCUAUAAGCGGGGGAUAACAUUCGGAAACGGGUGCUAAUACCGCAUAAUAUCUUCUUCCGCAUGGAAGAAGAUUGAAAGACGGCUCUGCUGUCACUUAUAGAUGACCUUGCGGUGCAUUAGUUAGUUGGUGGGGUAACGGCCUACCAAGGCGAUGAUGCAUAGCCGACCUGAGAGGGUGAUCGGCCACAUUGGGACUGAGACACGGCCCAAACUCCUACGGGAGGCAGCAGUAGGGAAUCUUCCGCAAUGGGCGAAAGCCUGACGGAGCAAUGCCGCGUGAGUGAAGAAGGCCUUCGGGUCGUAAAACUCUGUUAUAAGAGAAGAACAAAUUGUAGAGUAACUGCUACAGUCUUGACGGUAUCUUAUCAGAAAGCCACGGCUAACUACGUGCCAGCAGCCGCGGUAAUACGUAGGUGGCAAGCGUUGUCCGGAUUUAUUGGGCGUAAAGGGAGCGCAGGUGGUUUCUUAAGUCUGAUGUGAAAGCCCACGGCUUAACCGUGGAGGGUCAUUGGAAACUGGGAAGCUUGAGUACAGAAGAGGAAUGUGGAACUCCAUGUGUAGCGGUGGAAUGCGUAGAUAUAUGGAAGAACACCAGUGGCGAAGGCGACAUUCUGGUCUGUUACUGACACUGAGGCUCGAAAGCGUGGGGAGCAAACAGGAUUAGAUACCCUGUUAGUCCA